rnacentral:rRNA from 1 species
GACGAACGCUGGCGGCGUGCUUAACACAUGCAAGUCGAACGGAAAGGCCCUGCUUUUGUGGGGUGCUCGAGUGGCGAACGGGUGAGUAACACGUGAGUAACCUGCCCUUGACUUUGGGAUAACUUCAGGAAACUGGGGCUAAUACCGGAUAGGAGCUCCUGCUGCAUGGUGGGGGUUGGAACGUUUCGGCGGUUGGGGAUGGACUCGCGGCUUAUCAGCUUGUUGGUGGGGUAGUGGCUUACCAAGGCUUUGACGGGUAGCCGGCCUGGGAGGGUGAACGGGCACAUGGGGACUGCGAGACGGCGCAGACUCCUACGGUAGGCAGCAGGGGGGAGUAUGGCACAAUGGGCGGAAGCCUGAUGCAGCAACGCCGCGUGCGGGAUGACGGCCUUCGGGUUGUAAACCGCUUUCGCCUGUGACGAAGCGGGAGUGACGGUAAUGGGUAAAGAAGCACCGGCUAACUACGUG